rnacentral:rRNA from 1 species
GAUGAACGCUGGCGGCGUGCCUAAUACAUGCAAGUAGAACGCUGAAGGAGGAGCUUGCUCUUCUGGAUGAGUUGCGAACGGGUGAGUAACGCGUAGGUAACCUGCCUGGUAGCGGGGGAUAACUAUUGGAAACGAUAGCUAAUACCGCAUGACAACAGUUAUUGCAUGAUAACUGCUUAAAAGGGGCAACUGCUCCACUACCAGAUGGACCUGCGUUGUAUUAGCUAGUUGGUGAGGUAACGGCUCACCAAGGCGACGAUACAUAGCCGACCUGAGAGGGGGAUCGGCCACACUGGGACUGAGACACGGCCCAGACGCCUACGGGAGGGAGCAGUAGGGAAUCUUCGGCAAUGGACGGAAGUCUGACCGAGCAACGCCGCGUGAGGGAAGAAGGUUGUCGGAUCGGAAAGCUCUGUUGUAAGAGAAGAACGAGUGUGAGAGUGGAAAGUUCACACUGUGACGGUAUCUUACCAGAAAGGGACGGCUAACUACGUG